rnacentral:rRNA from 1 species
UACGUAGGGUGCAAGCGUUGUUCGGAUUUACUGGGCGUAAAGGGCGCGUAGGCGGCCACCGCAAGUCGUUGUGAAAUCUCCGGGCUUAACCCGGAAAGGUCAACCGAUACUGCGGGGCUAGAGUGCAGAAGGGGCAACUGGAAUUCUCGGUGUAGCGGUGAAAUGCGUAGAUAUCGGGAGGAACACCAGUGGCGAAGGCGGCCGAGCCUGGGCCAAUACUGACGCUGAGGUGACGAAAGGCGUGGGGAGCAAACAGG